rnacentral:rRNA from 1 species
UACGAAGGGGGCGAGCGUUGUUCGGAAUUACUGGGCGUAAAGCGUGCGCAGGCGGUGAUGUAAGACAGGUGUGAAAUCCCCGGGCUUAACCUGGGAACUGCAUUUGUGACUGCAUCGCUGGAGUGCGGCAGAGGGGGAUGGAAUUCCGCGUGUAGCAGUGAAAUGCGUAGAUAUGCGGAGGAACACCGAUGGCGAAGGCAAUCCCCUGGGCCUGCACUGACGCUCAUGCACGAAAGCGUGGGGAGCAAACAGG